rnacentral:rRNA from 1 species
GUGGGGAAUCUUCCGCAAUGGACGAAAGUCUGACGGAGCAACGCCGCGUGAGUGAAGAAGGUUUUCGGAUCGUAAAGCUCUUUCGUUAGGGACGAACGUGCUCUUUGUGAAUAAUGAGGAGUAAUGACGGUACCUAAAUAAGAAGCCACGGCUAACUACGUGCCAGCAGCCGCGGUAAUACGUAGGUGGCAAGCGUUGUCCGGAAUUAUUGGGCGUAAAGCGCGCGCAGGCGGGAUAUCAAGUCUGUCUUAAAAGUGCGAGGCUCAACCUCGUGAGGGGACAGAAACUGGUAUACUUGAGUGUCGGAGAGGAAAGUGGAAUUCCAAGUGUAGCGGUGAAAUGCGUAGAGAUUUGGAAGAACACCAGUGGCGAAGGCGACUUUCUGGACGAUGUCUGACGCUGAGGCGCGAAAGCUAGGGGAGCGAACGGGAUUAGAUACCCGGGUAGUCC